GGUUGCGUGGCCCAAUGGCAAGGCACUUGACUACGAUUCGUCGGACAUAAAGAGAUUGCAGAUCGAUCCCUGCAGCAGUCA